UCUACGGGAGGCAGCAGUGAGGAAUAUUGGUCAAUGGGCGCGAGCCUGAACCAGCCAAGUAGCGUGAAGGAUGACUGCCCUACGGGUUGUAAACUUCUUUUAUAAAGGAAUAAAGUGAGGCACGUGUGCCUUUUUGUAUGUACUUUAUGCCUAAGGAUCGACUAACUCCGUGCCAGCAGCCGCGGUAAUAAGGAGGCUCCGAGCGUUAUCCGGAUUGAUUGGGUUUAAAGGGAGCGUAGAUGGGUUGUUAAGUCAGUUGUUAAAGUUUGCGGCUCAACCGGAAAAUUGCAAUUGAUACUGGCAGUCUUGAGUACAGUUGAGGUAGGCGGAAUUCGUGGUGUAGCGGUGAAAUGCUUAGAUAUCACGAAGAACUCCGAUUGCGAAGGCAGCUUACUAAACUGCCACUGACAUUGAUGCUCGAAAGUGUGGGUAUCAAACAGGAUUAGAUACCCUGGUAGUC
rnacentral:rRNA from 1 species